rnacentral:rRNA from 1 species
AUACGGAGGAUCCGAGCGUUAUCCGGAUUUAUUGGGUUUAAAGGGUGCGCAGGCGGCCAUUUAAGUCAGCGGUUAAAUCGUGGGGCUCAACCCCAUUCUGCCGUUGAUACUGGGUGGCUUGAUUGCGGUCGAGGUUGGCGGAAUUCGUUGUGUAGCGGUUAAAUGCAUAGAUAUGACGAAGAACACCGAUUGCGUAGGCAGCUGACCAGAUCGCAAAUGACGCUCAUGCACGAAAGUGCGGGGAUCGAACAGGAUUAGAUACCCUGGUAGUCCGCACAGUAAACGAUGAAUACUUGUUUUCGGCGAUAUAAUGUCGGAGGCAAAGCGAAAGCGAUAAGUAUUCCACCUGGGGAGUACGCCGGCAACGGUGAAACUCAAAUGAAUUGGCGGGG